rnacentral:rRNA from 1 species
UACGUAGGGUGCAAGCGUUGUCCGGAAUUAUUGGGCGUAAAGAGCUCGUAGGCGGUUUGUCGCGUCUGCUGUGAAAACUCAGGGCUUAACCCUGAGCCUGCAGUGGGUACGGGCAGACUAGAGUGUGGUAGGGGAGAUCGGAAUUCCUGGUGUAGCGGUGGAAUGCGCAGGAUAUCAGGAGGAACACCGGUGGCGAAGGCGGAUCUCUGGGCCAUAACUGACGCUGAGGAGCGAAAGCGUGGGGAGCAAACAGG